CAAUUAUAUGUAAGAUUUAUUGGUCACUUUGUAUCAGACUAAAUAUUUGACAUUUCUUGUAGGUCAUUAGAAUUCUUAUAUAGGAUCUGAGACAGAGUGGUAAUGUGACUUAACCAAGGGCACAUGACUUGUAAGUGUCAUGGCCAGGGUUCAAACCCAGAGUCUACGUUCUAAAUAAUUAUGUCUUAUGUCUUCUAAAUAGUAAAGAGUUGUUCAAAUGUGAUGUAUCAAUAAUCUUUCAACCAAGAAAUUCUUACAGCAAUAAUCAGGAGACUGCAUAGAAAGAUCCUAUCUUGCCUAAGCUCAACUAACAGUUGAACCUGAAACCAAUGCUUCUGCUAUUUUCAGUGGCUGCUUCUAAUUUCCAGAAAAAUCAUGCUGAGUCACCAUAUACGUCCGGGAUUCUGCAUAGCAUGCUUUAUUGACAACUAUUCCUUUGUUGUGAUGUAGCCAAACCAAACCAAAAAAAAAAAAAAAAAAAAAAGGCUGACAUUGAACUUGCAUCUCAAAUCUGAAAAAGCCUCUCUGAAUUCCUAUGUAUCAAUCAUUGUUGGAAAGAAUAAGUACAAAUCAAGGGAAUUAAGUUUAAUCCCCCUAAUAGAUAAAAAGAGCCUCAGCGAGGGUUAGGGAGAAAUCUCUUCUAACAGUGCCCUUAGGAAGCAUAGGGAUUUACUGUUCUGUUUUGCAUUAUUUGUUGAAACAUUUAGAAUAAUCAGCCACUGUCUGAUGAGAGAGUGGACUACAUACGGAAGGCACUUAACUCUUCUAAUAUUAAAGUGCAUAUUCAAUCCCUUAUUGGAUUUUUUUCUUCAAAAAGCACUGUUUUUAAUAAGUAAUUUCUUCACUGUGUGUUGAGAACAAUAAUUUCAAGGUCAUUGAUAUAACUCUGGUGUCUAGGGAAUUUUCAUAAAUUUUUAGCCCUGGCAGAAGGAAAUUAUAAUUUAAGAAGAAUAUUCCAGAGUUCCUGUAGUGGCUCAGCAGUGACGAACCCAACUAGUAUCCAGAAUGAUGCAGGUUCUAUCCCUAGCCUCGCUCAGUGGGUUAAGGAUCCGGCAUUGCCAUGAGCUGUAGGUGUGUGUAGGCCACAGGCUUAGCCUGGAUCCUGCAUUGCUGUGGCUGUGGCGUAGGCAGGCAGCUAUAGCUCCGAUUCUGCUCCUAGCCUGGGAACUUCAUAUGCCACUGGUGCAGCCCUUAAAAGACAAAGAAGAAGAAGGAGAAGAAAGAGAAGAAGAAAAAGAGGAAGAAUCUUCCAAUUUUAGCCAAUCCUGCGUCUGAAAAAUAAAUAAGAUCAAUAUAAAUCGUCUGGAUAACCAACAAGGAAAUGCUUCAUUAUCGCACUCAGUAAGGUUAUGUGAUUUCUUUUUUGUCAUAAUGUCAGAAUUCUUGCCAUAAUCAAUUAAGAUAAAAACACCAAGCUUUAGCAGACCUCAACCAAAGAGUAAAAAGGAAAAAAUGUAACUAUUAAUUGUUAUACCUGCUGCAUCACUUUUUAAAGUGAGCACCUUCUUCUAACUAGACCCAUAAGUGAUCUUAGCAAAGUAAAGGUAUCUUGUUGUCUUCUCUUUAUUUUGAGGUGACAGCUCUCCAAUUUUUCAGUCUCAAGACCCCUCUAUGCACUUACAAAUUAUCAAGGACUCCAAAGAAUUUAGGGUUGCGUUACCACCUAAGAAAAUGAAAGAGCGUUAAAGUUGAGGCAUAUCUCAGAGACACUGCAGGUUCAGUACUGACACAAUAAAGCCAAUCUUGUGAUAAAGCAAGUCACAUGAAUUUUUUGGUUUCUCACUCCACAUAAAAGUUAUAUUUACAGUAUACUGUAGAAGCCUUUUGUCUAAAAAAGUAUACACAUCUUAAUUUUAAAAUGUGUUAUUGGAGUUCCCAUUGUGGCUCAGCAGGUUAAGAACCCGCCUAGUAUCCAUGAGGAUGCAGGUUCACUCCCUGGCCUCAAUCAGUGGAUUAAAGAUCUGGGUGUAGGUUGCAGAUGCAACUCAGAUCUGGCAUUUUGUGGCUGUGGUGAAGGCCAGCAGCUGCAGCUCCAAUUCAACCCCUAGCCUAUGAACUUCCAUAUGCCACAGAUGCAGUCCUAAAACAAACAAACAAACAAACAAACAAAAACCAUUAUUGCUAAAAAAUGCCUUUAUCAUCUAAAGCCUUCAUCAUCUGAGCCUUUAGUGAGUCGUCAUCAUUUUGCUGGUAGAGGAUCUUGCCUCAGCAUUGACGGCUCCUAACCAAUCAGGGCAGUGGUUGCUGAAGUCUGGGGUGGCCGCGGCGAUCUCUUAAAAUAAGACAGCAAUGAAAUUUCCUUUCACAAACAUUUCACUGUAGCAUGCAGUGCUGUUUGAUAGUAUUUUACUCACAGUAGAACUUCUUUCAAAAUUGGAGUCAAUCUUCUCAAUUUCUGCUGCUGCUUCUGUAACAUACUAAAUCUUUUGUUGUUAUCUGAACAACCUUCACAGCACCUUCACCAGGAGUAUAUGCCGUCUCAAGAAACUGCUUUCUUUAUUCAUCCAUGUGAAGCAACUCCUCAUUCAUUCAAGUUUUAUCAUGAGAUUGCAGAAAUUCAGUCACAUCUUCAAGCUCCACUUCUAAUUCCAGUUCUCUUGCUCUUUCUGCUACAUCUGUGAUAACUUCCUCCAAUGAAGUCUUGAACUUCUCAAAGUUAUCCAUGAGGUUGAAAUCAGCUUUUUCCAAACCCUUGUGAAGGUUGAUAUUUUGAUCUCUUCCCAUGAAUCACAAAUGUUCUUAAUGACAUCUAGAAUGGUGAAUCCUUUCCAGAAGACUUCAAUUUAUUUUGCCCAGAUCCAUCAGAGGAAUCACUAUCUAUGGCAGCUCUUGCUGUAUGAAAUGUAUUUCUUAAAAAAUAAGACUUGCAGGUCAAAAUGACUCCUUUACCCAUGGACUGCAGAAUAGAUGCUGUGUUAGCAGGCAUGAAAAUAACAUCAAUCUCUUUGUACAUCAUCAGAGCUCUUGAGUGACCAGGUACAUUGUCAACGAGCAGAAUUAUUUUGAAAGGAAGCUUUUUUCCUGAGGCAAAAGUCUCCACAGUGGGCUUAAAAUAUUCAGUAAACUAUGUGAUCCAACGAUGUGCUGUCAUCCAUGCUUUGUUGUUCCAUUUCUAGAACACAGGCAGAGUAGAUUUAGCAUAAUUUUGAAGGCCCCUAGGAUUUUCAGAAUAGUAAAUGAACAUUGGCUUUAACUUAAAAUCACCAGUUGCAUUAGCCCCUAAGGAGAGAGUCAGCCUAUUCCUUGAAGCUUUGAAGCCAGGCAUUGACUUCUCCUUUCCAGCUAUGAAAACCAAGAUGGCACCUUCUUCCAAUAUAAGGCUGUUUAGUCUACAAUGAAAAUCUGUUGUUCAGCAUAGCCACCUUCAGUAAUUAUCUUAGGUUUUCUGGAUAACUUGCUACAACUUCUGUAUCAGGACUUGCUGCUUCACUUUGCACGUAUAUGUUAUUGACAAGGCUUCUUUUCUUAAACUUCAUGACCCUCUGUUAACUUCAAACUUUUCUUCUGCAGCUUCCUCACUUUUCUCAGCUUUCAUAGAAUUAAAGAGAGUUAGGGUCCUUCUAUGAAUUAGGCUUUGGCUUAUGGAAUGUUGUGGCUGGUUUGAUCUAUCCAGACCACUACAACUUUCUCUAUAUCAGCAUUAAGGCUUUUUUGCUUUCUUACCAUUCGUGUGUUCACUGGAGUAGUACUUUUAAUUUCCUUCAAGGACUUUCUCUUUGCAUUUACAACCUGCCUAACUGUUUGGCACAAGAGGCCCGGCUUUUGUCCCAUCUUGGCUUUCAACAUCCCUUCCUCACUAAGUUUAAUCAUUUUUAGCUUUUGAUUUAAAGUGAGAGGUGUGCAAGUCUUUUCACAUGAAUGGUUAAAGGCCAUUGUAGGGUUAUUAACUGGCCUAACUUCAAUACUAUUAUUAUGACUCAGGGAAUAGGGAGGCCCAAGGAGAGGGGGAGAGACAGGGAAUGGCUGCUCAGUGGAACAGUCAGAACCCACACAACAUUUAUGGAUUAACUUUGCUGUCUAAUGUGUAUGGUUCAUGAAGCUCCAAAACAAUCAACAGUAGUAACACCAAAGUUCACUGAUUGUAGAUCACCUUAACAAAUAUAUUACUAAGGAAAUUUUUUUUUGAAAUAUUGUAAGAGUUACCAAGAUGUGACACAGAAAGGAAGUGAACAAAUGCUGUUGGGAAAAUGGUGCUGAUAGACUUGCCAGAUGCAGGUUUUUGUUUUGUUUCAAUUUGUACAAACAAAACAAAAGCAGUGUUGAAACUGCAAUAAAGCAAGUGCAAUAAGACAAGGUAUGCUUGCAUUAAUUUAUUCUAAAAUAAAUAAUGAGCUCAAUAUAUGUAAAUAUAAACUAUAGAUUUUAUAUAAAUUAACUAUACCUUUUCAAAAAUAAAAUCAACUAGCAAAAACAGAAGGAUUUUGCAAAUAAUAGAUUGUUAUACCUGCUUCUGCAUUCAAUCUAUUAUGACUUUUUUUUUUUUUUUUUUUGUCUUUUUAGGGCCCCACCCAUGGCAUAUGGAGGUUCCCAGGCUAAGGGUCGAAUUAGAGAUGUAGCCAGCAGCCUAUACCAGAGGCACAGCAACACUGGAUCUGUGCCUUGUCUGCGACCUACACCACAGCUCAUGGCAACUCCAGAUCCUUUACCCACUGAGUGAGGCCAGGGAUUGAACCCAAAACCUCACGGUUCCUAGGCGGAUUCGUUUCAACUGCACCACGACUGAAACUCCAUGACAUGUUGUUUUGAUUUAAGUAUGGGAAAAAAAGUCUGGAUAAGCAAUUUGAAUGGGGAAGGGCAUUUUUAAUAGUCUUUUCAGAUAAUUGUGAAUACUCUUUUUGAUACUGCUCCGAGAAUCAGCAAGUCCAAGUUUACUAAAAGUCGGUUGCCAUGUGCAAUCCAAAAGCAUUACCAAUGAAAUUUCUUACUGCAUUACAUUAACAUCCAUUGCAUUUAAAUGGAUUAUCUUGCCAGCGAAUUAUUUUGUAACAGAAAGCAAUGGCCGUUUGAGGGAAAGUGGUUGAGGUAUUUAGAUCUUCCACAUUUCACUGAACAAUACUUUAAAAAUCACAGGUAUUAACAUCAUCACUGAUCUCACCAGAAAGAUAUCAAAAAAUCUUUAAGUAUUAGGAAGCUGUUGAGCUCAUGCAGAGGAUACACAUAUACCAAAAUUCUAAAUUUUGCUUGAAAACUCAAAUGUUGAGUUACCUAAGUCUGAAUCACCAUAGUUCGUCUCUAAGUCAUUAGAAAAUGAUGUUCCCUGAAAAAAAAAAAAA
rnacentral:lncRNA from 1 species